UCGAAACGGGGUCCGACGGUCGACUGUCGGAAAGCUGUUCCGCAAACGUCAAAUCACUUGUUGCACGGUAAAAAUUUUUGGUUUAUUUUUUCGGUGUGAAUGUUGAUUAUUAAAAUCAACGGGAAUAUGCAACUUUUAACGAGUGUUACAUGCCGCUAUAUUUUUUAAACAAGUUUUAUGAUACUUUGAAGGCAUUUUGUCAUAUAUUUAUGUGAUUUUGAAAAAUUUUAGAUUUCUCUAAUAUUCUUGAUAUCAUGAAAUAUCAACACUUUUAGUACAGUGCAUGCCAUUUUGAAGUUUCCGACACUCAGUCUGCUUCUUCUUCUUUGCUCCGCAAAAUUAGAAUUUUUCUCUUUUCUCGCAAUAAUAUCAAAAGAAAACCGCGCACAUCGCACGAUGCUCACUCCAAGGAAAAUCCAUUGUCGACCCGGGUAUCAUAAAGAAAAUCCGUCGAACUUGAACGUUUUUGAAGUACGUAUCAGCUCCGUAAAUCGGUUCUCAUCGGUGGUAUAAACCUGUAUAAAGGAUCAGCUCGUAGACGGUUUCCAAUCCUCGGGCUGGAUCGCGUAUAGGAUGCACUUUACGAGCCAAAUAAAGGUUGAUGGAAAUGAACGAAUUCGACUAUUGAUUUUGGGCAACCAAACCCGUUAACCUCAACGGCGAUGUACCUCCCGGAAGUGAGGCAUUCCUCCGAUCGAAUUUGCGCAGUGAUAGGCGUUUUUUGGUUUCCUAUAACUAACGGAAUGUGCGGUGCUGGCUUUGCUAAUUCUAAUAUUCAUCGACGUUUCAUGUUCAAGGACAAAUCAACAGCAAGAAACCUGCUCACAGGAAAUAUGAUAGCAUUAGAUCAACUAGAGGGCUCCUCUGAACGUAGAUUGUUAAUCCCAACUAGCCGUGCUCGGCCAAACUUAUGGAAGAAAAAACGAGAAUCGGUAAAAUGAUAGACGCAA